GUAAGAAUACCGCAUUGAAAACACUGGUUUUGGUCCGAACACCGAAGUUAAGCAAUGUUAGGUGAGGUCAGUACUUGGGAACACCGGGUGCUGUAGACU